UGGGGUGUGUGCCUACAAGAGCUCGCAAGAAAGCUGUCUUGGGGCUGCGGGGAUGAUGUCCGUGGUGAACCCCAGGAUUGCUCUCUCUGCUGGAGCACUCCACUAUGAGAACCAGCAACCGCGGGGGGACUUUGGUUGAAAGGAGCUCUGGUGUGAGGGGCCAAUCCACGGCUGCCUUCCAGAACACCCUUAGAGGAAAACGCUGACCAGUCAACUGGCAAGCAGUUUCUGCGUGCUCCACACACACACACACACACACACACGCACGCACACACGCACGCACACGCACACACACACACACACACACGGUAGAGAGAGUCAGAGACUUGGGGCUGGGGCUGGGAGUGACAAGGGAAGCAUAUUUGACUGAAGUAGAAGAAUCGCCUGCCCCAGGAGAUAACAAGCCCAGGCUGACGUGGGCCCCUUGCUGAAGAAAGACCCAGUCACGGAUGUGCUCCACAAGUGGAGAACCGUGUCCUCGUUAUGGACAUCAAAGACAAGUACCGAGCUUUUGUGUAACAGGAAGAAAAAAGCCAUGGAAAAAGUGAAUUGGAAACACAAUUUCAAGGAAACUCUACCUUUGUUCAUUUUUAAAAUGGAUAUUGGUGCUGACUUUUCUUCGGCGACUUAGCUUGUGUCAGAGCAUCUGUGAAACAAAACCACCAGGCUUCAAAAAAGAAGCGCUGCAGCAAAUCCAAUAGAAGGUUCUUUGCCAACUGCAGAAGAGUAAACACAGCCACAAGAGAGCUACCGGUCGGUCUCAGUCACCAGCCUCUUCCUUGCACAAGGAAAACGGCUAAUGGACUCCUAAGAGGCUUCCAUCAUGACAGGACAGAAGAAAAUGGCUCAGAGCACCUCUUACUCUAGGGGACUACAUUGGCAGCUUAUGUCCUUCGGCACGGCUGUAAAUGACCAAGUCUGAAGUAAUCCACCUUUGAUUAUCUGAGGAUUAAUCUAUGUUGUCCAUACACUUAUAUGUGUGCAUUUACAUAUUCUAAAAAUGGGCAUGAUAACUCACAAUUCUACACGUUCUUUAACUUGGCAUUAUUCACAUAAGAGACACAUAACAUACUAUAAUCGUCUUAAAGUAUACAUUCAGUGGUCUUUAGUAUACUCACAAUGUGCAGUCACUAGCUCUACCUCAUUUUAAAGUUGCCUUAUUGCCCUAUAAAAAUAACGCAAACCCAUUUUAAAAAAUCACUCUUCCCUUUCUCUCACCCCGCCUCCCUCUUUCCUUCCUUCAUCUCUUUUUUUGAAAGAAAGCUGACAGUUUUGGAGGCUGAAUGUCCAAACAGCAUGGUGCAGGCUCUGGGGAGGAAGCCAUGCAGGAUGCUGGGAAAGAAUCACAGGACCAAGCGCAGCACAGGGAGAUUGGCUGGUAAUUCCUCAUCUGCUUUCUUCCUCUAUAGGUAUGAUUUCCCCCUCCCGGGAUUUUUUGGUGUCUGUGUUCAUAAGGAGUACUGACUGGUCUGUAGUUUUCUUGUGGUAUCUUUGCCUGGCUUUGACAGCACACCAGUUCUCACCUUGUACAAUGGGUUAGAAACGGUUCUGUUUUUAAGAGUUUGAGUAGGAUUAGUGUUCAUUCCAUUUAAAUGUGCGGUAGGAUUCACCGGGGAAGCCAUCUGGUCCAGGGUUUACUUUAUUGGGAAGAUUUUGAUUACUGAUUCAAUCUCCCUAUUACAAGCUUGCUGAUUUUUCUGUCUUCUUGAAUCAGUUUUGAUAAUUUGUAUGUUUCUGGGUGUUUGUCUGUUCGAUCUAGAUAAUCUAGUUUGUUGGUGUUCUAGCUGUUAUAUUCUC